rnacentral:rRNA from 1 species
UACGGAGGAUGCAAGCGUUAUCCGGAAUGAUUGGGCGUAAAGCGUCCGCAGGUGGCUGUGUAAGUCUGCUGUUAAAGAGUGAGGCUCAACCUCAUAAAGGCAGUGGAAACUACAUAGCUAGAGUAAGGUAGGGGUAGAGGGAAUUCCUGGUGUAGCGGUGAAAUGCGUAGAGAUCGGGAGGAACACCGGUGGCGAAGGCGGGUCUCUGGGCAUCUCCUGACGCUGAGGCGCGAAAGCGUGGGGAGCAAACGGG